rnacentral:lncRNA from 1 species
AUACGCCUUCUUUCACUCAAACUUGUUCCAGCUUUGGCUUCCUUUGUUGGAUAUUGUCCGAUACCUUUGCAUAAACCAGUUCCACAACUUAUUUCUUUAUACGCCAGUUUGGGUCGUCAGGGCCUACUUUGACCAUUUAUUUGGUCUUUCCGAAGCAUCUCUUUUUCAGCAGUGUAUCUGUGCUGUUUAUGUAAUCAUCUGGGUUAAGUAUAAGGGUCAGUUGAAAGAAAGAAAAAUGAUUAUACAAAAAGAAGUUGUGAAAAAUAGAAAAUACAAUGACAAAAGAAGUUUGGAAAAGAAGGAGAAAAAGAAGAAGAA